CAGAAGUCCGUGCAGGGAUGAGGCGAGAGGAGCCAGGGAAGAGACUGCACGGCACCACCACACCUGAACGUGGCCUUGCCGUUGGCAAAGGAAGCAGAAGAUCCGGUUUGACGAAAAAGAUCAAGAGUAGUUGCACAACAGGCUUCUGAGUUGGGAACGUCUUUUAUAUAUUGUCAGUUUCUACCAUGACAGGUGCUGAGAACACUGCGUGAACAAAGCAGACAGAGGUCCCGCCUGUCACUGAGCUCCACUUCAGGGUUGGCAGCCAAGGCAUCUCAGAGGCAGUGCUCUCUGAGCUGAGCUCUCACUAUGAAAAGGAGUGCGCCCAGGGGAGAACACCUGGAAGAGUGUUCCAAGGAGGGGGAACAGCCCAGUGCAGAGGCUUUGAGAAGAGCAUCAGUCCCAUGCAUUCCAGGAAAAGGAAGGAAUGUGGUGAGUCAUUCCUGGGUUCCAAGUCACCCACACAUGAAGGCCACUUGUAGCUGCUAGGUCACUGGGCAGGAGCCAUGCCAAGAAAGAAAGAAAUGUCCUCUGCCAAAGGUAAGAGAUUCAGAUAACAAGGGCCCUCUAAUUCCAUUCCGAGCUAGGGGUGCUGGGGCGGCUGUGGUUUCAGAAAAUCAAUAUGGCAGCCUGUGGCAAUGGCCCUGAAUGGAAAGAGACUGGAGCCUGAGAACCACAGAGGGGACACUCCGAAGGUGGUGACAGAAAGCAAGAGAGAGAUGAGGUCUCUUUAGAGAGAAAGGGGGAACAGAGCAUGCUGCUUUUAGGAGAAAAUCAUCAGUUUGGGCGAGGAAGAACGGGGACCUGAAAAUAAGAAAUAAGAGAAGUUAGUUUAGGGCAUUUUUCCCACAGAGGGCCAGAGUUUGAGUAGAAGCCAGAGAGAGUCCUCUUUAGA